AGAGAGAGACAUGCGCGCAUAUCAAUAAGCGGAGGAAAAGAAACUAACAAGGAUUCCCUUAGUAACGGCGAGUGAUGCGGGAAGAGCUCAAAUUUGAAAUCUUCAAGGUUUUACCUUGACGAAUUGUAGUUUAAAGAAGUGUUUUCUGCUGAAGUUUUGGUAAAAGUUCUUUGGAAUAGGACAUCAUAGAGGGUGAGAAUCCCGUAUUUGACCAUUAUUUUCAGCUUUGUGAUACACUUUCAAAGAGUCGGAUUGUUUGGGAAUGCAGUCCAAAAUGGGUGGUAAAUUUCAUCUAAAGCUAAAUAUUGGCGAGAGACCGAUAGCGAACAAGUACCGUGAGGGAAAGAUGAAAAGAACUUUGAAAAGAGAGUUAAACAGUACGUGAAAUUGUCAAAAGGGAAGCGUUUGACACCAGUGUUGUUUUCUCGAAAAUCAAUUAAAAAUGGCUCGAUUUUGUAUUGCUUGAGACCUUAAAAGCUCACUGUACAUUUUUCGUGUCUUUUUUAAUGCACUUUUCGUUUAACAAGUCAACAUCAGUUUCUUUUGUUGUAAAAGGGUCAUUGGAAGGUGGCUUUCUUUUCGGAGAAAGUGUUUAUAGCCUUUGGCCUCUGCAAUCGGAGAGACUGAGGUCUGCAGCGUAGAUCCCUUCGGGGUUAGAUACAUUUGUGCUAAGUUAUAGCCUUUUCAUAGACAACUUGUUGACUAUAAUCAGUCAUGUAGCUUACUCGCUUAUGCUAUUUUACCUACGCUUAGGAUGUUGAAGAUGUAGCACAUCAU
rnacentral:rRNA from 1 species